UUGAGUCUCAACUGAUCCUCGGUGAGUUCCAAUAGUGGGAAGGUCUGCACUUGAGUGCAGAAGUCACGGAUGAACUGUAAAGCAUCCUCACUCGGCAUCCCAUAAAAGAGCGGCAGCAGGUUUGAAUCGUUGGGCUUCAGAUUGUAAUUUCGGACCGCCGUGGGAAGCACUAUAGCUGACGUGCUAGUGCUCCCAAUAACUGGCCUGGAAAAAUCUCCCAUGUACUGAACAUUCUGCUCCGCCAUUGCUUCUUCUUCUUUUUCAGAAUGCACUGAAAGUGUCUCCUCAAAAGCUUCCAGAAUGGGAUUGGAAGCAAUUCUCUCUUCACAAUUUUUUUCUCGAAACUGUGAUUCCACAAAACUUCUCGAACUGGACUCGGACUCCUUCUCCAGGCUUGAAAGAACCUCCCGAGGUCGAUGAAUGUUGUCGUAGUAAGGUGCAAGCUUUCUCUUCAAGCUUCU
rnacentral:lncRNA from 1 species